UGGCAGUCAGAGGCGAUGAAGGACGUGCUAAUCUGCGAUAAGCGUCGGUAAGGUGAUAUGAACCGUUAUAACCGGCGAUUUCCGAAUGGGGAAACCCAGUGUGAUUCGUCACACUAUCAUUAACUGAAUCCAUAGGUUAAUGAGGCGAACCGGGGGAACUGAAACAUCUAAGUACCCCGAGGAAAAGAAAUCAACCGAGAUUCCCCCAGUAGCGGCGAGCGAACGGGGAGCAGCCCAGAGCCUGAAUCAGUGUGUGUGUUAGUGGAAGCGUCUGGAAAGGCGUGCGAUACAGGGUGACAGCCCCGUACACAAAAAUGCACAUACUGUGAGCUCGAUGAGUAGGGCGGGACACGUGGUAUCCUGUCUGAAUAUGGGGGGACCAUCCUCCAAGGCUAAAUACUCCUGACUGACCGAUAGUGAACCAGUACCGUGAGGGAAAGGCGAAAAGAACCCCGGCGAGGGGAGUGAAAAAGAACCUGAAACCGUGUACGUACAAGCAGUGGGAGCACGCUUAGGCGUGUGACUGCGUACCUUUUGUAUAAUGGGUCAGCGACUUAUAUUCUGUAGCAAGGUUAACCGAAUAGGGGAGCCGAAGGGAAACCGAGUCUUAACUGGGCGUUAAGUUGCAGGGUAUAGACCCGAAACCCGGUGAUCUAGCCAUGGGCAGGUUGAAGGUUGGGUAACACUAACUGGAGGACCGAACCGACUAAUGUUGAAAAAUUAGCGGAUGACUUGUGGCUGGGGGUGAAAGGCCAAUCAAACCGGGAGAUAGCUGGUUCUCCCCGAAAGCUAUUUAGGUAGCGCCUCGUGAAUUCAUCUCCGGGGGUAGAGCACUGUUUCGGCAAGGGGGUCAUCCCGACUUACCAACCCGAUGCAAACUGCGAAUACCGGAGAAUGUUAUCACGGGAGACACACGGCGGGUGCUAACGUCCGUCGUGAAGAGGGAAACAACCCAGACCGCCAGCUAAGGUCCCAAAGUCAUGGUUAAGUGGGAAACGAUGUGGGAAGGCCCAGACAGCCAGGAUGUUGGCUUAGAAGCAGCCAUCAUUUAAAGAAAGCGUAAUAGCUCACUGGUCGAGUCGGCCUGCGCGGAAGAUGUAACGGGGCUAAACCAUGCACCGAAGCUGCGGCAGCGACGCUUAUGCGUUGUUGGGUAGGGGAGCGUUCUGUAAGCCUGUGAAGGUGUGCUGUGAGGUAUGCUGGAGGUAUCAGAAGUGCGAAUGCUGACAUAAGUAACGAUAAAGCGGGUGAAAAGCCCGCUCGCCGGAAGACCAAGGGUUCCUGUCCAACGUUAAUCGGGGCAGGGUGAGUCGACCCCUAAGGCGAGGCCGAAAGGCGUAGUCGAUGGGAAACAGGUUAAUAUUCCUGUACUUGGUGUUACUGCGAAGGGGGGACGGAGAAGGCUAUGUUGGCCGGGCGACGGUUGUCCCGGUUUAAGCGUGUAGGCUGGUUUUCCAGGCAAAUCCGGAAAAUCAAGGCCGAGGCGUGAUGACGAGGCACUACGGUGCUGAAGCAACAAAUGCCCUGCUUCCAGGAAAAGCCUCUAAGCAUCAGGUAACAUCAAAUCGUACCCCAAACCGACACAGGUGGUCAGGUAGAGAAUACCAAGGCGCUUGAGAGAACUCGGGUGAAGGAACUAGGCAAAAUGGUGCCGUAACUUCGGGAGAAGGCACGCUGAUACGUAGGUGAAGCGACUUGCUCGUGGAGCUGAAAUCAGUCGAAGAUACCAGCUGGCUGCAACUGUUUAUUAAAAACACAGCACUGUGCAAACACGAAAGUGGACGUAUACGGUGUGACGCCUGCCCGGUGCCGGAAGGUUAAUUGAUGGGGUUAGCGCAAGCGAAGCUCUUGAUCGAAGCCCCGGUAAACGGCGGCCGUAACUAUAACGGUCCUAAGGUAGCGAAAUUCCUUGUCGGGUAAGUUCCGACCUGCACGAAUGGCGUAAUGAUGGCCAGGCUGUCUCCACCCGAGACUCAGUGAAAUUGAACUCGCUGUGAAGAUGCAGUGUACCCGCGGCAAGACGGAAAGACCCCGUGAACCUUUACUAUAGCUUGACACUGAACAUUGAGCCUUGAUGUGUAGGAUAGGUGGGAGGCUUUGAAGUGUGGACGCCAGUCUGCAUGGAGCCGACCUUGAAAUACCACCCUUUAAUGUUUGAUGUUCUAACGUGGACCCGUGAUCCGGGUUGCGGACAGUGUCUGGUGGGUAGUUUGACUGGGGCGGUCUCCUCCUAAAGAGUAACGGAGGAGCACGAAGGUUGGCUAAUCCUGGUCGGACAUCAGGAGGUUAGUGCAAUGGCAUAAGCCAGCUUGACUGCGAGCGUGACGGCGCGAGCAGGUGCGAAAGCAGGUCAUAGUGAUCCGGUGGUUCUGAAUGGAAGGGCCAUCGCUCAACGGAUAAAAGGUACUCCGGGGAUAACAGGCUGAUACCGCCCAAGAGUUCAUAUCGACGGCGGUGUUUGGCACCUCGAUGUCGGCUCAUCACAUCCUGGGGCUGAAGUAGGUCCCAAGGGUAUGGCUGUUCGCCAUUUAAAGUGGUACGCGAGCUGGGUUUAGAACGUCGUGAGACAGUUCGGUCCCUAUCUGCCGUGGGCGCUGGAGAACUGAGGGGGGCUGCUCCUAGUACGAGAGGACCGGAGUGGACGCAUCACUGGUGUUCGGGUUGUCAUGCCAAUGGCACUGCCCGGUAGCUAAAUGCGGAAGAGAUAAGUGCUGAAAGCAUCUAAGCACGAAACUUGCCCCGAGAUGAGUUCUCCCUGACCCUUUAAGGGUCCUGAAGGAACGUUGAAGACGACGACGUUGAUAGGCCGGGUGUGUAAGCGCAGCGAUGCGUUGAGCUAACCGGUACUAAU
rnacentral:rRNA from 1 species